GGGGCAUUAGCGCAGCUGGGAGCGCGUUUGAAUGGCAUUCAAAAGGUCACGGGUUCGAAUCCCGUAUGCUCCA
rfam:Lachnoclostridium sp. An14 An14_contig_18, whole genome shotgun sequence.